rnacentral:lncRNA from 1 species
GUCAAAUGUUAUCAUGGUUAUGCAUGCACAGGGGUUUCUGUUUGUUACAAUUUGCCGGGUUCACUAUCCAUUACGAACCCCGAAAAAUUGGGGUUGCAUAGUAAACACGGCAAAGUGUAACAAACCCCUGUGAUGCAUGUAAACCCUUUAAUCAGUCCAAGAACGGAAGCAAGACAACUCGACCUGCCGACAAAUCUCCCCACUUUUUCACCAACUCGCCCCACUUUUAACAGUUUAAAAAAAAUCCCCCCACUAAAUGAAAAGUGUUUAAUCCUGUCAAAUAUACUCCUGCCAAAUCCCCACUUGUGAAAAUGAGUAAAAUCCAGAUUAAUAUUAAAAAAAAGUCAAAAGAACACUGUUCAUGCUGUUAAACCCUGUUUUUAAAUGGGUAACAAUGUUAUAAAGGUCAGCCAAAAUAUGAAGACUGAAGUAUAGAAAAUACAGAAAAAAAUAUAUUAUUGUGAAAGAGCACAAAAUAAAGAAAUUCAUUGGCGCCAUAAUUUUUUUAAAUCUGAGUCGACUGGUUCAAAGGUUAUAACAAUUAAGAUUUAAAAAAAUUGUCCAAGACAAAAAUACUAUAUUUUGGGGCUAAUUUUUAGGCCAAAAUGAAAUAUAACAAAAGGUAAUGACAAAAAUGUAGGAACAGC